rnacentral:tRNA from 1 species
GAAAAGUUAGUUAAAAAAUAACAUUAAAAUGUCAAUUUAAAAUUAUUGUAAAAAUAUUUUUUA